rnacentral:rRNA from 1 species
AUUGAACGCUGGCGGCAGGCCUAACACAUGCAAGUCGAGCGGUAGAGGGGUGCUUGCAUCUCUUGAGAGCGGCGGACGGGUGAGUAAUGCCUAGGAAUCUGUCUAGUGGUGGGGGAUAACGUUCGGAAACGGACGCUAAUACCGCAUACGUCCUACGGGAGAAAGCGGGGGAUCUUCGGACCUCGCGCCAUUAGAUGAGCCUAGGUCGGAUUAGCUAGUUGGUGAGGUAAUGGCUCACCAAGGCGACGAUCCGUAACUGGUCUGAGAGGAUGAUCAGUCACACUGGAACUGAGACACGGUCCAGACUCCUACGGGAGGCGAGCAGUGGGGAAU